rnacentral:rRNA from 1 species
ACGAACGCUGGCGGCGUGCUUCACACAUGCACGUCGAACGGAAAGGCCCUGCUUUUGUGGGGUGCUCGAGUGGCGAACGGGUGAGUAACACGUGAGUAACCUGCCCUUGACUUUGGGAUAACUUCAGGAAACUGGGGCUAAUACCGGAUAGGAGCUCCUGCUGCAUGGUGGGGGUUGGAAAGUUUCGGCGGUUGGGGAUGGACUCGCGGCUUAUCAGCUUGUUGGUGGGGUAGUGGCUUACCAAGGCUUUGACGGGUAGCCGGCCUGAGAGGGUGACCGGCCACAUUGGGACUGGGAUACGGCCCAGACUCCUACGGGAGGCAGCAGUGGGGAAUAUUGCACAAUGGGCGGAAGCCUGAUGCAGCAACGCCGCGUGCGGGAUGACGGCCUUCGGGUUGUAAACCGCUUUCGCCUGUGACGAAGCGUGAGUGACGGUAAUGGGUAAAGAAGCACCGGCUAACUACGUG